rnacentral:rRNA from 1 species
GGGNACUACGAAUANUANUUUUAAUUUAAAACCCAAAGGGCUUGGCGGUGUNUUAGACUUCUUAGGGGAGCUUGUUNCGUAAUCGACAAUCCACGAUAGACCUAACCUUUUUUUGUAUCCAGUAUGUAUACCGUUGUCGUCAGGUAACUUUUAAAAAUAUAAAAGCUAGCAANUAAGUUUUUAACUUGUACGUCAAAUCAAGGUGCAACCCAUAAAAAGGAGAGAAUGAGCUACAAUUAAAAGUUAUAAUACGAAUAAAACACAUAAAA